GCCACAGCCCCAGUCCCUUAAUUUUAUUUUUUAAAUGAGUGAUUAUCUAUGAAUUCAUAAACAUUGCUUAGGGAAUCCAAGUACUGAGCCAGAACAAGCAGCAAUAGCAAAUGGCAAAGACACCAGAUUGAAAAAUCUGGACUUACAGUUCAAGAGCUGCCAACCUGUUUAAUGAAAUAGCAAAACAAAACCAAUGAAGCUUUUGAUUUAAUUGUAGGAACUUAAGAGUUAUUCAAAUAUUUCCCAGAGAACUACAUAGAAGAACAACUGCACUUCAUGUUUACAGUUCACAGCCUAAGAAUUGAAAAACCUGGAGGCUGAAGGUGAAGAAAGAGCCCCUCUUGAGUGAAGGCGGGUCUUCUGAAACCAAGAUCUUUUAGUACACAUAAAAGUCAUAAGCCCUUGUAACUCUAAAAAUAGCUUCUGUUCAGUAAAUGCUAUGUACCAACUUGUAUAGCUUCUGAUUAAAGAUCAAUUUUUUGGAUGGAAUAUGUGUAUUUAUGUGAAAGCUUGUACCUAAAAUAGGUUUGAAUAGAAGACCAUACAUUGUCUUUCGAAAUUAAAACAGGAAAAAAGAUUUUUUUUCAUUAUUGCUUUUCAUUUUAAUGAUGGAAACUAGUGCUGUAUAAUGCAUAUUUUUCCAAUAUUAUGUUUAACACCCAUUUAAUAAGAUGAUUUAUACAUCCCAUUUUAAA